GCGGUAAUAGCUCAGUUGGUAGAGCACGACCUUGCCAAGGUCGGGGUCGCGAGUUCGAGUCUCGUUUACCGCU
rnacentral:tRNA from 3 species